AGCGAACGCUGGCGGCAGGCUUAAUACAUGCAAGUCGAGCGCCUGUAGCAAUACAGGAGCGGCAGACGGGAGAGUAACACGUGGGAACGUGCCCUUCAGUUCGGAACAACCAAGGGAAACUUUGGCUAAUACCGGAUACGCCCUUACGGGGAAAGAUUUAUCGCUGAAGGAUCGGCCCGCGUCUGAUUAGCUAGUUGGUGGGGUAAUGGCCCACCAAGGCGACGAUCAGUAGCUGGUCUGAGAGGAUGAUCAGCCUCAUUGGGACUGAGACACGGCCCAAACUCCUACGGGAGGCAGCAGUAGGGAAUAUUGGACAAUGGGGGCAACCCUGAUCCAGCCAUGCCGCGUGAGUGAUGAAGGCCUUAGGGUUGUAAAGCUCUUUCGGCGGGGAAGAUAAUGACGGUACCCGCAUAAGGAGCCCCGGCUAACUUCGUGCCAGCCGCCGCAGUAA
rnacentral:rRNA from 1 species